rnacentral:rRNA from 1 species
GAUGAACGCUAGCGGCAGGCUUAAUACAUGCAAGUCGAGGGGCAGCAUGAGUAGCAAUACUUGAUGGCGACCGGCAAACGGGUGCGGAACACGUACACAACCUUCCUUUCAGCGGGGAAUAGCCCAGAGAAAUUUGGAUUAAUACCCCAUAGAAUAUUGAAGAGGCAUCUCUUUAUUAUUAAAGAUUUAUCACUGAAAGAUGGGUGUGCGGCUGAUUAGAUAGUUGGCGGGGUAACGGCCCACCAAGUCUACGAUCAGUAGCUGAUGUGAGAGCAUGAUAAGCCACACGGGCACUGAGACACGGGCCCGACUCCUACGGGAGGCAGCAGUAAGGAAUAUUGGUCAAUGGACGAAAGUCUGAACCAGCCAUGCCGCGUGAAGGAUGAAGGUCCUCUGGAUUGUAAACUUCUUUUAUAUGGGACGAAAAAAGGUCAUUCUUGAUCACUUGACGGUACCAUUUGAAUAAGCACCGGCUAACUCCGUGCCAGCAGCCGCGGUAACAC